UACGAAGGGGGCUAGCGUUGUUCGGAAUUACUGGGCGUAAAGCGCACGUAGGCGGAUUGUUAAGUUAGGGGUGAAAUCCCAGGGCUCAACCCUGGAACUGCCUUUAAUACUGGCAAUCUCGAGUCCGAGAGAGGUGAGUGGAAUUCCGAGUGUAGAGGUGAAAUUCGUAGAUAUUCGGAGGAACACCGGUGGCGAAGGCGGCCCACUGGUCCGGUACUGACGCUGAGGUGCGAAAGCGUGGGGAGCAAACAGG
rnacentral:rRNA from 1 species